CUGCCUUGGCAGGGGGUUGGACUGGAUGAUCUCCAGUGUUUCCUAACAACUCGAAUGAGUCUGUGAUUCUGUGUGACCCCUCCGGUUCUGGGGUGGGAUCCUGGACAGGGUGAAAAGCCCAAAACUGCAGCAUUUCCUCUGACAGGCUCAUCCCACCCUUGCUCACCACCCUGAGACCUGUGUGGAGGCUUGAGGGGAGAAAGUCAUGGGGAGAGGGAGAAAGCUGCCCAGCAAAGGCACAUCACAGAGUCAUUCAGGUUGGAAAAGACCUCUAAGAUCAUUGAGUGCAACCAUUCAUCCAUCACACUGGCCUUGUCCUUUUCAGGGUGUUUUUGACUGGCAGCCUGCCUCCUGCCUGUGAGCUGUGAGGCUGCCAUGGGCUGGGGCAGGAAGGUACCACAAGGAUGGGUUCAAAUCCAUGGGCCAGGAGUGAAAUCCACCAAGGUUUUUUCCCCCAGACAUUUCCAGCCCUGGCACCUCCAAUUCCCAGUCAUCUCCUCACCAGCACAUUGCUCACACUCUUUAAUUAAAUCACUGCAACCUGUGUUGGGGAGCUAAUUUAUCUCCAUGCUUUCUGUUUUGGCAUCAGUGUCUGCCACCAAGGAGAAAUUUGCACUAAGCUAUUUGGUCUUUUUAUUUCAUUGCUUCUCUUUUAUUGCUUAAUUUUUUUAUUAGUGACAUUAUUUUUAGCCUACCGUUUAAUUUUGGACUUGGGUUGCUGUUCCUUUGGUCUGCUGUUCCUGCUCUGGCAGUUGUGGCAAUUAGGUUGUGGUAAUGCCUGCAGCAUUACCUUCCAAACAGUUCCCAAAUAUCUAUCCAUAUAAAUGAAGCUUCAAAACACAAACAAUCAUCUUCCUUUUAAUCAGUCAGGAGAGACAGAGGCCCACAGGUCAGACAUUUCUGUUUCUCUAAAAGAGAGGCAUCCCUGCAAACUGCCCUUGUGAAGGCAGGAAGGGCAAACCAGUGAUGACAGUUUUAGCUACCGUGGCAAAGGUUACACGGUGACUCAGUGGUAAGUUUUUCACACCAGAUCACAUGCUGUUCAUCCUAUGCAACAGGCUGCAACACGCUGGGCAAAAAUUUUGCCCAGCUCAUACCAUGAGACUCAACCAACUGUAGGAGAAACAACUGGAUUUAGAGAAUGUUUUGCAAACAACAUUUACCCAGCAACAGCCUUGAAUUCCAAUCUCCGAGACCUGGAAGACCAGCCUUCAACUGGACACUGCUGUUACCUGAAUAUUUUAACUUGCUUCCUUUUUCAGUAAAAGCAUCUUAAAUGAUCA